GCCCCGCCCCCAGCGGCCGCCCGCGCUCGAUUGCUCGGGUCUGGCGGCGGCAGCAUGGCGGCGGGGGCGGCCGAGGCGGCGGCGGCUGUGGUGGAGGUCGGCUCCGCCGGGCAGUUUGAGGAGCUGCUGCGCCUCAGAGCCAAGUCCCUGCUGGUGGUCCAUUUCUGGGCACCAUGGGCCCCACAGUGUGCUCAGAUGAACGAUGUGAUGGCCGAGUUAGCCAAGGAGCACCCGCAAGUUUCCUUUGUGAAGUUGGAGGCUGAAGCUGUUCCUGAAGUGUCUGAAAAAUACGGAAUUAGUUCUGUACCCACCUUUCUGUUUUUCAAGAAUUCUCAGAGCAUUGACCGGUUAGAUGGUGCACAUGCCCCAGAGUUGACCAAAAAGGUUCAGCGACAUGCGUCCAGCAGCUCUUUCCCAUCUGGCGGUAGCGAGCACCUGAAAGAAGACCUCAGCCUUCGCCUGAAGAAGCUGACCCACGCUGCCCCCUGCAUGCUGUUCAUGAAGGGAACACCCCAGGAGCCGCGCUGCGGUUUCAGCAAGCAGAUGGUGGAAAUUCUUAACAAACAUAAUAUCCAGUUUAGCAGUUUUGAUAUCUUCUCAGAUGAAGAAGUUCGCCAAGGCCUCAAAACCUAUUCCAAUUGGCCCACCUACCCCCAGCUCUAUGUUUCUGGAGAGCUCAUAGGAGGACUUGAUAUAAUCAAGGAGCUAGAAGCAUCUAAAGAACUAGAUACAAUUUGCCCCAAAGCUCCCAAAUUAGAGGAAAGGCUCAAAGUACUGACAAAUAAAGCUUCUGUGAUGCUCUUUAUGAAGGGAAACAAACAGGAAGCCAAGUGUGGUUUCAGCAGACAAAUCCUGGAAAUUCUAAAUAGUACUGGGUUUCGGAACUGUGCCUGUGCUCACAGCCUCCCGGCGGGGAUCCAGUCAUACAGUCAUACUCGUUUUCAGAAGAUGUGGUUGAAUUUUUAUUCUUUUAUACAACUGGUGUAUAUGCACCACAAAUGCUUUCCCUGGUUUUGCUUUUUUAGGGCCACACCUGCAGUAUGUGGAAGUUCCCAGGCUAGGGGUCAAAUUGGAGCUACAGCUGCUGGCCUACACCAUAGCCACACAGGAUCCCAGCCAACAUCUGUCUCCAACACCAUAGCUCAUGGCAAUGCCGGAUCCCCGACCCACUGAGCGAAGCUGGGGAUCGAACCUGCAUCCUCAUAGAUACUGGUUGGGUUUGCUUCUGCUGUGCCACACAUGGAACUCCCCCACCGGCUUUAUGUAUGUUAGACAUGGCAUGUGUGAUCUGCAAGAAGUUUAUUUCGGUGCAGCGAGCACAUCUCCAUAGGGCAGAGAUGGUUAGCAGUGGAGCCGCUCUGGCUGGUCAACCCCCAGCCCAGCCAGUGCUCCCUAAACAGCUGGCAGUAGGUUAGGGAGCAGCAGGCCCAAGAGGGCUGGACAUGGAGCCUGUGUAAGAGGUGAGUGAGAAUCCAGCCCUGGGUUGGCAAACUGCAUUUGGCUGCUUCCUUAUGUAAAUAAAGUUUUAUUGAGACACAGGCCCAUUCAUUACUGCCUUGUCUGGUUGCUUCUCUGCUUCACAGCCGAGUCUGUGUGGCCUGCAGAGCCCAAAUGUUUACUCCUCAGCCAUUAGAAGACAUUUGCUGACCCCUCUCUAACCUGAUGUUGUCCAGAGAAAACUCCAGAUAAAUGUGUAUCUUGAGAUGACUUACUCUGUGGUACCUGACGGAUUAAGAAGUAAAAUCACCUCCAGUUUUGCACAGGACAUUUUGUUAGCAACAAAAUAGUAUUACUUUUCUGCACUAAUUUUGAAACAUCAAAUAGGUUUUGUGAUUUUUGUGUAAAACUCUUUCUUUUCUCGUUAAGAUGCUUUUCCUUUUUGCAGUGUCGACUACGAGACGUUCGACAUACUGGAGGAUGAGGAAGUCCGGCAGGGGUUGAAAACCUACUCCAACUGGCCGACGUACCCUCAGCUGUAUGUGAAAGGGGAGCUGGUCGGAGGCCUGGAUAUUGUUAAGGAACUAAAAGAAAACGGUGAGCUGCUGCCUAUCCUGAAAGGAGAAAACUAAUCAGUGGGGGACUUGGUGCCCAGCUACUGCAGGAGGCCGUCACUCCGCUGAGUGACCAGUCCCUGAGGUGGCCGAGGAGUAGGAGAUGCUUAUCCCCGGUUACGCUGGUGUAUUUCUCGAGGCUGCGCUAAGUGAGCGGAUGCGACGUGUUUUCCACCCAAAUGAGAACACAAUAAACAUCUUCAAGUUCAAUUGAAAA